rnacentral:misc_RNA from 1 species
AACGCACCUUGCGCCCUUUGGCAUUCCGAAGGGCACACCCGUUUGAGUGUCGUGACAUCCUCAAACCUUCUUGGUUUCUUGACUGAGAAGGCUUUGGACUUUGGAGGCUUUUGCUGGACCUUUGCUUGUUGAAGCCAGCUCCUCUUAAAUGAAUUAGUGGGGUCUGCUUUGCUGGUCCUUGACGUGAUAAGAUGCUUCUACGUCUUGGGUUAUGCACUGUUUGCUAUAGAUCCUGCUUCUAACCGUCUCAUAGAAGACAAACGGUCGACUUGACCCACAAACCUUGACCUCAAAUCGGGUGAGACUACCCGCUGAACUUAA